UGCACCAUCCAGCGGUCAGCACGGAUGACCUCGGUGACUCCACACAGGAACCGCACCUGGGGCAGCCCUGAGGGAGGCGUGGAGAAGUCCCACCUUUCAGUCCCACUUCAGGGCUCCAAGGUGCCCUUUGGAACCUGAGAAAAGGAUCCCACCCUCACCAUUGUGGAAGGAAGGAGGAUGCUCACAGUAGAGGCUACACUACAGAAGACAGCUGAGUGCGAGCGGCGGAUGGGCAGCGUCAGGUACACCCAGAGUUGGGGAACCUCGGCUGUCCGACAAGGGCCACAGAAGAAGGGAUCCCCUGAGCAGAAAAGAAGCCUGCUUCCAAGAGACCCAGGGUGGGCACGAGAAUCCUGAGUCUUCUCCCCAGGAAGCAGGGGACUCUCACGUGUGGAGGUUAACAGUGAGUCUUUGGAGCGAAAGGAGUCGGAGAAAGCUGGAUACCGCCUGGCGAUGGAUUAACGGUCCUCAGACUCCGCCCUCCUCCCCGCCCCAGCGCCACCGGCCGUCAGCUGGAUCCUGACUGGCCGAUGGAGGAGGGAGGCGGAGGCAGAGGGACUCCUCAAAUCUGGGGCCGGACUUCCUCACAUCUGGGGCUGGACUUCCUCACAUCUGGGGCCGGACUUCCUCCCUCUGGGCUUUGGGCCCUCUUCGCAUCCGCCGGUCUUCUGCUCGCUGCUGCCGCCGAGGGGUCAAUUCCGAGUGAAGCGCAACACUGCUCGCCGAUCUCCUCGCCUAAUCCAAAGCCUGGUUUUAACGCAAGCUGUCAGGAGGAACGGGUUUUCUUCGCUAUGAAAUUUCCUCCUCCAGAACUCUUUCUACACGUCUUAUCUGCUUUCUCCCACAGGCGGUCUCAGUCCAAUCCCCGGCUCACUAAUAAUAACGACGACAUCAGCACAGGACUAGGUGGCUUACUAAUUGCACUUUCGGCGUUUUCUCAUUUGAUACUUGAAAGAGCCAGCCCCUUCCUUCCUCUCCCCCUGCGGUCCUUUCUCGCUGUGCUUUUGCCCUCCCCACUUUUACAGCCCUAAGCUUACAACAGUCUUGCAGAGGAGCUGAAAGGGUGUUUCGCUGUCUUCCAGCUUCCAGAGAACUUCACCUCGUGUUGCUUCUUCUUUGGGCAGCUGACACUCAUUUUAUUGAACCUCUGGUACAGCUGAUUAUACCUCGUUGAAAUACUCUCUUAACUUCCACAACAUACUCCCCUCGUUUUUCCUACGUAUUGGCUGCUUCAUGUCUGUCUCCUUUGCUAAUCCCUUUCCCUCAACCAGACCUCUCAAUGUGGGAGGACUUUCUUUUUUUUUUCCUAUCUUUUCCACUCUCAUGGCUUAAUUAUCAGCUACAUGCUGAUUCUCAAUAUUAUAACCCCAGCCUGCCCUUCUCCCCUGAACUCCAGACUGUAUUGCCAUUUGUCCUCCUGAUGAUAUCUCCAUACAGGUGCCCAAAUGGCAUGGUGUUUUUUUAAAUUAAUUAAUUUAUUUACUUAUUUUUGGCUGCGUUGGGUCUUCGUUGCUGCACGUGGGCUUUCUUUUUAGUUGCGGUGAGCGGGGGCUACUCUUCAUUGCGGUGCGUGGGCUCUUCAUUGCGGUGGCUUCUCGUCGCGGAGCGCGGGCUCUAGAGCGCAGGCUCAGUAGUUGUGGCGCACGGGCCUAGCUGCUCUGCAGCAUGUGGGAUCUUCCUGAACCAGGGCUCGAACCCGUGUCCCCUGCAUUGGCAGGCGGAUUCUUAACCACUGCGCCACCAGGGAAGCCCCUAAAUGGCAUGUUAAACUCACUCUCUCCAAAACAAGAGCUUUUACUCUCCUUCUCCAAUACCAUAUAGACCUGUUUUUCUCCUGUCUUCAUCAUCUCUGUAAAUGGCACCUCCAUUUUUGGCUCAAGUUAAAAACCCACACCAUAUCCUUGAUUCCUUCUUCACCCACCACCUCCAAUCCACCAUCGAAACCUAUUGUUUCUGCCUCCAAAAUGUUUUGUUGUUUUUUAGAAUUGUAGUAUAGUUGACAUAAAAAGACAGCCUAUGGACUGGGAGAAAAUAUUUGCAAAGAAUGCGACUGACAAGGGCUUAAUUUCCAAAAUAUACAAACAUCUCAUACUACUCAGUAAUAACAACAAAAACAAAAAAACCAAACAACCCAAUCAAAAAAUUGGCAGAAGACCUAAAUAGACAUUUCUCCAAAGAAGACAUAUACAAAUGGCCAAUAGGCACAUGAAAAAAUGCUCAACAUCGCUAAUUAGAGAAAUGCAAAUCAAAACUACAAUGAGGUAUCACCUCACACCGGUCAGAAAGGCCAUCAUUAAAAAGUCCACAAACGGGCUUCCCUGGUGGCGCAGUGGUUGCGAGUCCGCCUGCCGAUGCAGGAGACACGGAUUCAUGCCCCGGUCCGGGAGGAUCCCACAUGCCGCAGAGCGGCUGGGCCCGUGAGCCAUGGCCGCUGAGCCUGCGCGUCCGGAGCCUGUGCUCCGCAACGGGAGAGGCCACAACAGUGAGAGGCCCGCGUACCAGAAAAAAAAAAAAAAAAAAAAGUCCACAAACAACAAAUGCUGGAGCGGGUGUGGAGAAUGCACACUGUUGGUGGGAAUGUAAAUUUGGUGCAGCCACUGUGGAAAACCGUAUGGAGGUUCUCUAAAAAACUAAAAAUAGAUUUACCAUAUGAUCCAGCAAUCCCACUCCUGGGCAUGUAUCAGGAGAAAACUGAUGCAAAAAGAUACAUGCACCCCAAUGUUCAUAGCAGCACUAUUUACAAUAGCCAAGACAUGGAAGCAACCUAAAUGGCCACCAACAGAUAAAUGGAUAAAGAAAAAAUUGAAAUAUAGUUGAUUUAAAAUGUGUUUCAGGUGUAUAGCAAAGUGAUUCAUAUAUAUAUGUAUAUAUCAUAUCCUUUUUCAGAUUCUUUUCCAUUAUAGGUUAUCAAAAUGUAUUUUGAAUCUAUUCACUUCCCUCCACCUCCACCCCACAACCUAGAACUAGCAACCUGUCAGCUCUCCCCUGGAUUACAGCAGUAGUCUCAUAAUCUCACUGGAUUCCUAGAUGCCACUCUGGUCCUCCUACAAUCCUUUCUCUGAACAGCAGCAGGUGGGAUCUUUUCAAACACAUAAAUCAGAUUUUGCUACUGCUCUAGAUAAAAGCUCUCAAUGCCUCCCCAGGCUAUUGCUUUUAGAAUAAAAUCCACAGUCCCUCCUUACCAUAGCCUGAGGCCAACUCCCUCCCCUUUUUCCUCUGUGAUCUCAAAUCUACCACUUUCGUCUUUACUCACUAUACUUUUGUCACACUGGCUUCCUUGGUGUUCCUUGAAGACCCUAUGCCAGAGGCUUUGCAUUUGCUCUUUCUUCUGCAUGAAAUAUCUUCCGCCUUUCACUGUGACUGUCUGCCUCUUUUUGGUGACUGUCUCUUUCUCAUCUUUCAGGUUUCAGCUGAAAUUUCCACUCUGUGGAAAAGCUCCCCCCCACCACUCACACCAUAUCUAAAAUUGGCUCCCCAAUUAUUAUUUUAUUACCUGUUUACUUUCCUUAGAGAAUUUAUCAUAUUCUGUUGUUAUCGUGGUCAUUUGUUUAUUUGCCUAUCAUCUCUCUCUUCCGGCUUCAAGAAGGCAGAGAUCACCCCUGUCAUGUUUAUGGCUUUGUGCCCUGUGUUUAGAACAGUGCCGAGACAGGGUAGCCUCUCAACAGAUAUUUAUUUAUUUAUUUAUUUAUUUAUUUUUUGCGGUACGCGGGCCUCUCACUGUUGUGGCCUCUCCCGUUGCGGAGCACAGGCUCCGGACGCGCAGGCUCAGCAGCCAUGGCUCACGGGCCUAGCCGCUCCGCGGCACGUGGGAUCCUCCCGGACCGGGGCAUGAACCCGUGUCCCCUGCAUCGGCAGGCGGACUCCCAACCACUGCGCCACCAGGGAAGCCCAACAGAUAUUUAUUGAAUGGAUAUUUAUCAAUGAAUAAUGAAACCAUUCUCUCCAAGUCCCGACCCCUCUAUCUCUACUAUCUCUUGAAUCUGCUCCUGCCAUCCUUAUAACCACUGGCCUGGUUCAAGUUCUGUCACCUCCAACCUGGAUUUCUGUAACAAUCUCUGACCCAAUGGGUCUCCAUGUCUCUCUUGCCCUGUCACCAUUCUUCACACAGCAAUUAUGAAAAUGAGGUUUCAGAAUGAAAAUCUCGUCAGGCCCUGCUUCACUGCUUCAGUGGCCCCCAGCUAUUUGCAGGAGGAAUUUCAAAUCUUUCAGGUCAGCACUCAAAGCACUUAGUGCCAUCUUUCCGAACUCCCCACCACCAUCACAUGCAUAUGACCGCAGAAAUCUGCCUAUAGUCCCCUAACAAGUCAGGGUCUUCUACAAGUUCUUACUUUUGUGAGAUGUUCCCACUUCCUAAAUUCCCACUGCACCCCCCCUGCCCCCAUCCAUCGAACCCUGCUAGAAUACAACUUAGUCACUCCAGCCCCUCUGGGAACCAGCUCUCAGCACACACCGUGUACCCUUCUCAGGACAUAUCUACCCUCCUACUGGUUCAUCAGCUCUACAAGGCAGGGCCUAGGCCUUUCUGUGGCCUGGUCACACAAGGCUGCCAAAACACAUCAUUUAGAGAGAGCACUGGAGUCAGGACAGGUUUGAAUUCUUGGGCCACCACUUACCAGUCAAGUGACCUUAAACAGGUCCAAGCCUUGGAUUCUUGAUCUGUAAAAUGAGAAUGAAAAUUCUAUUUAUUUCAUGGAUGGGUACCUACUUUUGUGAGGAGUUUCGUACAGUGAGCAGAUAACAGAGGUGCUCCAAAUUCUUCUGAGUGAACAAAUAAAUGCCAGGAUGAAGUAUUGGAAAACACCCCACUUCAGAGGCACUCAAUAAACUUUGUUGAUUAAAUGGCACAUAUGCAAAAUAGACUCCAUCCCUUCCACAGCCCCAGACUUUCAGUGACUUCCCAUUGGCCUGAGGUUGAAAUGUAGUCUCCUCAACACAGCUUCAGGGUCCUCUCUACACUGAGCUCUGUCUGCUUCUCCAGCCUGGCCUCCCUAUACACACACACACACACACACACACACACACACACACACACACACACACACACAAACACACACACACACAAUACUCUUUCAUGCCUCCAUGCCUCCAUGUUGUUCACACUGUCUCCUCUGCCUGGAAUGCCUGUUCCUUCUGCCCCGGUUUUAGUGCCCUUCCUUCCUCUAUGCCUUUAUCCUCACAUUUAACACAUAGUUUUCUCUGUUUACAUGCCUUUCUCUCCUGAAAAAGGACAGGGACCCUGGGUCCUGCCAUUAUCUUC